AUUGAACGCUGGCGGCAGGCCUAACACAUGCAAGUCGAGCGAGCGGCGGACGGGUGAGUAUUGUCUGGGAAACUGCCUGAUGGAGGGGGAUAACUCCUGGAAACGGUAGCUAAUACCGCAUACCAUCAUAUGUUCCCCGAUGGGAUUAGCUAGUAGGUGGGGUAACGGCGCACCUCGGCGACGAUCCCUAGCUGGUCUGAGAGGAUGACCAGCCAAACUGGAACUGAGACACGGUCCAGACUCCUACGGGAGGCAGCAGUGGGGAAUAUUGCACAAUGGGCGCAAGCCUGAUGCAGCCAUGCCGCGUGUGUGAAGAAGGCCUUCGGGUUGUAAAGCACUUUCAGCGGGGAGGCGUUACCCGCAGAAGAAGCACCGGCUAACUCCGUGCCAGCAGCCGCGGUAAUAC
rnacentral:rRNA from 1 species